rnacentral:lncRNA from 1 species
UCAGAGUUAUUGGGUGAAGGCCCUCUGCUGACCUCACUAACAAUGGUAUCAGAGCAGAACUGUUCCAUUUUAUUGCGGAACUCCACUUUAAUUUUAUUUAGGGAGGCAGUAUGAUCUCAUAGGCCAGGCAUCAGGAGCUCUGGGUUGUGUUCUCCUCCAUACCAUGUGACCACAGGCAAACCAUGCAACUGUUCUGAGUUGUUUUGGUUUUUUGUUGUUUUUUUUUUUUUGCUUUAAUCCCAUGCCACAUGCUGGAAAUGAUCUUUAUUAACUGCCUCAGAGUGCUCUGAGAUCAGUGAAUGAUAAACCCUAAAGAAACACUAAGUGUUACCAAUGAAGUAUGUGAUUUUUAUAUGAUUAGAAUGAUAUAAAUCAGACCUAACCCCACUGUCACCGACGUAAUGCAAAAUCAAGCCUCAAGGUAGUCUGAAUUGCUAGUAAAGUUCCUGGGAACAACAUACGACCCAAUGAAAGCACAGUUUUGUACUCAGCACAUGAACGAUGUAAUGGCAUAACAGAAUUUGACGUGGAAGACAAAGUGCAACAGCACAAAAAAGUUGUAAAGUCUCUGAGAAUGGGAUCAUGUUCAUAUAUGCAGCAUAUGAAGCACUGUGAGAGUUACAAACACUUGACAAAUAUGCAGCAACAUCCACACACUCACACAACCCAAACAGAAGAACCAAGAUGGAAACAUCGCUUCUAACAAGCAACUAAGAAAGAGUAGAGCAGAGCACUGGAUUUCUCAUGCUCUGUCUCCUGUGCAUCUCCAAGCUUACUUUGGCAGAGAGUACUACCUCUUAGGUGUACUCUUCUGGCACUCUCAGGUUUUAAAUGAAUACAAAAUGAGUGAAAAAUAUUCCACACUGAAAAAGUAUGUGGCACUGUACUGAGAUGUCAAAUGUUAAGAGCCACGUUUUCAACAGAAUUAGACAUAAAUCUAAAGGUAUCUCUUCUCAGAGACAGUAUGGUAUUUCCACAGGGCAAGAAUUAAAACAUAUAUAAAUCUAUUCUAAACAUUCAGUUCACCCCUUUGAUUUCAAGAGUCCAGAUUACCCAAAACAAAGAAAUUCUGCAAGGUCUGUUUUGUGUACACCAGUGGAAGCAACACAUCUGUUAAUGCCAAGAGGUUUAGUUAAG